rnacentral:ncRNA from 1 species
GCCAGGGGAGCAAUUGCUGAGAUAUUCCGUACGGAAUGACCCUCAUACCUGAUCCGGAUAAUACCGGCGUAGGAAGGUACAUAUUAU